ensembl:lncRNA
CAUAGCUAAUAUAUUCAGUUUUCAUUAGAUUAAUGCACAUUUGAGAAAGCCCAUUCUGAAAAGCCUAGAAAGUGAAAAGUUAAAAAAGAAAACAGGAUUAAACCAAUUAUGAACUUUAGGAAGGAACCUAGUCCUUUACCAGAUUUUAUUCCUUCAGUCUUCCCCUAGAUUUUCUUUUAACUUUAGCUGUUCAGAACUUCCUCAGAUGUUUCUGCACUCAAAAUAUAGUUUAUGCCUUUGAAGAGAUCAUAUUAUAAUGGUACAGUAACCAAAUGGAAUUAUUUUAAAGUGACAUUAAUAAACCAUAGCUAAGAUGGCAGGAAACGGGAAUGCUCACAAGCUUUUGAAGGCAGGAUAUCUAAGAAGCUUGUAGGAAACUUUGAGAUUUGUUGGACAUGACUACCACAGAUCUGUAUUUUGAGAUUGUUCUUAGGCAGAGACUAUCUAGCUAUAUAGGCCAAGAUGGCCUAAAAACUGCAGAAUUCUACCUCAAGCCUCCCCCAAGGGUUUUUCUGUGUAACAUCUCUGGCUGUCCUGAAAUUUGCUGUGUAGACCAGGCUGGCCUCACAUACAAGAAGAUUGCCUACCCCUGCUCCCUAAGUGCUGGGACUGAAGUUGAAUGCCACCAAUUUCCAGCCUUUAUUUUCUGUUUUCAUUCUUCGAAACUUGCAAUACUUAAUAUUCAAGAAAUUCAAUAAAUGAACAGUAGCUCCAUUUCCCGUUUGUUGUUUAUGAUGAUGAUUUUGAAUUAGAGACCUUUGGCUAAAACAUUUACUGAAG